rnacentral:rRNA from 1 species
AGCAGUAGCCGCGGUAAUACGGAGGGUGCAAGCGUUAUCCGGAUUCACUGGGUUUAAAGGGUGCGUAGGCGGAUCUGUAAGUCAGUGGUGAAAUCUCCAGGCUUAACCUGGAAACUGCCGUUGAUACUAUAGGUCUUGAAUUUUGUGGAGGUUAGCGGAAUAUGUCAUGUAGCGGUGAAAUGCAUAGAUAUGACAUAGAACACCAAUUGCGAAGGCAGCUGGCUACACAACUAUUGACGCUGAGGCACGAAAGCGUGGGGAUCAAACAGGAUUAGAUACCCCCGUAGUCCCUGUCUCUUAUAC